AUGAGGAAAAAUCCAGAGAAUAAAGAUGACAGCUACGCUCUCAUUAUCUGCUCUCUUCUGCUUUUCACUGCUGAGUGUGAAGGACAGAUCACAGUCACUCAGAGUCCCUCAAUAACAGCUCAACCAGGACAACAAGUUCAAAUAAACUGUAAAACCAGCAGUGAUGUGUAUGCUGGUACUUGUUUACACUGGUACUUACAGAAACCUGGAGAAGCUCCUAAACUCCUGAUUUAUCUGACUGAUAGCCUGGAGUCUGAAACUCCAUCUAGAUUCAGUGGCAGUGGAUCUGAUAGUGAUUUCACUCUGACCAUCAGUGGAGUCCAGACUGAAGAUGCAGGACAUUAUUACUGUCAGAGUGUACAUGAGAUCAGUGACAGUUAUGUGUUCACACAGUGA